rnacentral:rRNA from 1 species
GACGAACGCUGGCGGCGCGCUUAACACAUGCAAGUCGAGCGAGAACCAGGGCUUCGGCUCUGGGGACAGCGGCGAACGGGUGAGUAACACGUGGGUAAUCCACCCUCGGCACCGGAAUAGCCCGGGGAAACCCGGAUUAAUGCCGGAUGGCCCGUCGACCCUUCGGGGCUGACGGAAAAGGUAGCUUCGGCCUCCGGCCGGGGACGAGCCCGCGACGGAUUAGCUUGUUGGUGGGGUAACGGCCUACCAAGGCUCCGAUCCGUAGCUGGUCUGAGAGGACGAUCAGCCACACUGGGACUGAGACACGGCCCAGACUCCUACGGGAGGCAGCAGUGG